AAGUCGUAACAAGGUUUCCGUAGGUGAACCUGCGGAAGGAUCAUUAACACUUUUUGAAAUUUUAUUUUCUUUUCCGAAAAUGAAAUUUUACUUUACCCACAUUUUUGGAUGAAUUAUUUCUUUAUUAACCCUUUUAUAAUUUUUAUACCCCAAAACAAAACUAAUACUUCUUAUUUCUAACAUUUAUUUAACAAAAAACAUAAAAAACAACUCUUAACAACGGAUAUCUAGGCUCUC
rnacentral:misc_RNA from 1 species